GAUGAACGCUGGCGGCGUGCCUAAUACAUGCAAGUCGAGCGAACGGACGAGAAGCUUGCUUCUCUGAUGUUAGCGGCGGACGGGUGAGUAACACGUGGAUAACCUACCUAUAAGACUGGGAUAACUUCGGGAAACCGGAGCUAAUACCGGAUAAUAUUUUGAACCGCAUGGUUCAAAAGUGAAAGACGGUCUUGCUGUCACUUAUAGAUGGAUCCGCGCUGCAUUAGCUAGUUGGUAAGGUAACGGCUUACCAAGGCAACGGUGCAUAGCCGACCUGAGAGGGUGAACGGCCACACUGGAACUGAGACACGGGCCAGACUCCUACGGGAGGCAGCAGUAGGGAAUCUUCCGCAAUGGGCGAAAGCCUGACGGAGCAACGCCGCGUGAGUGAUGAAGGUCUUCGGAUCUGAAAACUCUGUUAUUAGGGAAGAACAUAUGUGUAAGUAACAGUGCACAUCUUGACGGUACCUAAUCAGAAAGCCACGGCUAACUACGUG
rnacentral:rRNA from 1 species